UGUAAUUUGAGUUGGGAUGGGUUUGGAGUUCGUGUUCAAUUGUCGUUGCUGUAGCAUACUUGAUUAGAGUUACCACCACCAACUUCAUCUCCCAAGAUAAUUGUUUUUCCAAAGAAGCCAAAGAAGCUAAUGCUUGAAUGAUAGAUAAUAGUUCAUUUGGUGUCCUGUUUUAUACAUACACAAAAUGAAGAGGGAGGAGGAAGUUAUUU
rnacentral:misc_RNA from 1 species